ACGUAGGGAGCGAGCGUUGUCCGGAUUUAUUGGGCGUAAAGAGCGCGUAGGCGGCUCAGUAAGCCGGGUGUGAAACCUCCAAGCUCAACUUGGAGCGGCCAUUCGGAACUGCUGUGGCUAGAGUCUGGUAGGGGAACACGGAAUACCUGGUGUAGCGGUGAAAUGCUUAGAUAUCAGGUGGAACACCAGUGGCGAAGGCGGUGUUCUGGGCCAGUACUGACGCUGAGGCGCGAAAGCGUGGGGAGCGAACAGGA
rnacentral:rRNA from 1 species